rnacentral:rRNA from 1 species
AUACGUAGGGUGCAAGCGUUAAUCGGAAUUACUGGGCGUAAAGCGUGCGCAGGCGGUUUUGUAAGACAGUGGUGAAAUCCCCGGACUCAACCUGGGAACUGCCCUUGUGACUGCAAGGCUGGAGUGCGGCAGAGGGGGGUGGAAUUCCGCGUGUAGCCGUGAAAUGCGUAGAUAUGCGGAGGAACACCGAUGGCGAAGGCAAUCCCCCGGGCCUGCACUGACGCUCAUGCACGAAAGCGUGGGGAGCAAACAGGAUUAGAUACCCUGGUAGUCCACGCCCUAAACGAUGUCAACUGGUUGUUGGGGAUUUAUUUUCUCAGUAACGAAGCUAACGCGUGAAGUUGACCGCCUGGGGAGUACGGCCGCAAGGUUAAAACUCAAAUGAAUUGACGGGG